UCGUAUGUCUAGAAUGUCAUCGUCGACCACUGGGCGGCGAAAUAAAUAAUACAACUUUCAGCAACGGAUCUCUUGGCUCUCGCAUCGAUGAAGAACGCAGCGAAUUGCGAUAAGUAAUGUGAAUUGCAGAUUUUCAGUGAAUCAUCGAAUCUUUGAACGCACCUUGCGCUCCUUGGUAUUCCGAGGAGCAUGCCUGUUUGAGUGUCAUUAAAUUCUCAACCAUGACUUUGUUGACAUGGCUUGGAGUUGGGGGUUGCUGGCUUGUUUGUCAGCUCUCCUGAAAUACAUUAGCGGUGGACAAGCUAGGCCUUCCGACGUGAUAAUGAUCGUCGUGGGGCGGAGCAUCAACGUCUGUCUGCUUCUAAAUCCCAGAUGCCUUAGCUAGACAUCAUUUCGAACGCUUGACCUCAAAUCAGGUAGGACUACCCGCUGAACUUAAGCAUAUCAAUA
rnacentral:misc_RNA from 1 species